rnacentral:rRNA from 1 species
UACAGAGGUCUCAAGCGUUGUUCGGAUUCAUUGGGCGUAAAGGGUGCGUAGGUGGCAUGGUAAGUCGGAUGUGAAAUCCCGGGGCUCAACCCCGGAACUGCAUUCGAUACUGCUGAGCUAGAGUACUGGAGAGGAGAUUGGAAUUUACGGUGUAGCAGUGAAAUGCGUAGAUAUCGUAAGGAAGACCAGUGGCGAAGGCGGAUCUCUGGACAGUUCCUGACGCUGAGGCACGAAGGUCAGGGGAGCAAACGGG